AAAUGAAUAGACGGGGGCCCGCACAAGCGGAGGAACAUGUGGUUUAAUUCGAUGAUACGCGAGGAACCUUACCUGGGCUUAAAUUGCAACUGACAGGACCCGAAACGGUCCCUUCUUCGGACAGUUGUGAAGGUGCUGCAUGGUUGUCGUCAGCUCGUGCCGUGAGGUGUCGGCUUAAGUGCCAUAACGAGCGCAACCCCUAUUGCUAGUUACUAACAGGUCAUGCUGAGGACUCUAGCGAGACUGCCGUCGUAAGAUGAGAGGAAGGUGGGGAUGACGUCAAAUCAGCACGGCCCUUACGUCCAGGGCGACACACGUGUUACAAUGGGUAAGACAGAGGGCAGCUACCUGGUGACAGGAUGCUAAUCCCAUAAACUUACUCUCAGUUCGGAUCGAAGUCUGCAACUCGACUUCGUGAAGCUGGAUUCGCUAGUAAUCGCGCAUCAGCCAUGGCGCGGUGAAUACGUUCCCGGGCCUUGUACACACCGCCCGU
rnacentral:rRNA from 1 species